GACGAACCGUGCGAACGUUGUUCGGAAUCACUGGGCUUAAAGGGCGCGUAGGCGGGCCUCCCAGUCCGGGGUGAAAGCUUUCGGCUUAACCGGAAAAGUGCCUUGGAUACUGGAGGCCUGGAGGGGGGUAGGGGCAGCCGGAACUUCCGGUGGAGCGGUGAAAUGCGUUGAUAUCGGAAGGAACGCCGGUGGCGAAAGCGGCACGCUGGACCUUGCUGACGCUGAUGCGCGAAAGCCAGGGGAGCAAACGGG
rnacentral:rRNA from 1 species